rnacentral:lncRNA from 1 species
UAUUGGACCAAGUAUAAUACCACCCUUUAGAUCAAAGGGGAGUAAGUUGAAUGGCAUUUAUAGUCUCCUUGAAACCUCUGGUUUCAGCAUCAGUGACAGGAGAUCCAAUUCUGUCUUCAGAGUUCAAAACAGUAUUGAAGUCCCCACUAAGUACCCAAGGAUCCUGAUUGGGAAUGUUUACUGCCUGUAGAUCACACCACAACUGUUCCCUAUUGCUUGCAGUAUUAUGAGCAUAAACUACACUCAAAUGAGUUCU